AAAGCUUUAAGUUAAAAAAACUAUUAACCUUCAAAGUUAAAAAUAUAAUAUCAUUUUAUAAGCUUUA
rnacentral:tRNA from 1 species